GUGGCUAUGACAGAAUUAUAUGUGUUAGCUUUAAGCGCUAAUUAUGGGUUCAUCCCUAGUCACU
rnacentral:tRNA from 1 species